UCCGCCUAGGGGAGGUAGCUCGCCGUGCGCCCUGCUGGUACCACACCCCGCCCUGUACGCACAUCAGUGAUGUGAAACCGUGGCCUUCGGCCCGGACCUGUGUUUCUUCGCUGGUGGGCUCUGCGGAGUAGGUUUUGGGGCAGAGUCCAGCGGCUCCUGCACGUCCUCUCGUGGGCUGUAGGAACACAGGCAGCCCCUCAGUGCCCGCUGUAGCGACCCCACAAAUGAGGCGGAGGAAGCAGCUCAGUCAGGAACCAGGAAGUAGGAGAAGCCCACAGGCGCCAAGAACGGACUAUAGGAUUCCACCAGAAUCUGUCAAGCUCCAGCUCCAGAUGGUCCUACAACCUCACCAGUACUACUGUGGGCCCCUGGACACCCCUCGGCCUGGACCCCUGACUCCCACAGGGCCCCUCUUCGACCCUUCUCAGCAGGAAGUACCUAAUAACUUGAUCCCCUUGUCCUAUCUCCCUAACAGUAGUUAGGGGCUCCAAUCCAUAGGGGGAAUUUGUAGUGACCUCAUGAAUGCGGGAGGAAGCAGCUCAGUCAGGAACCAGGAAGUAGGAGAAGCCCACAGUUGCCAAGAACGGACUAUAGGAUCCCACCAGGGCAAGAGCCCUCCGAUGGGCCGUGACACUGCCAGUGGGAGAACGGAUAAAUUACAGUGCAUUGCCACAUUGAAGUGAGCGCAAGGAUGUCAGACUCGAAUCCUGGGACAACCAAAUGUGGUGCACUAUUUCUGAACGGCAAGGCUUGCUGGUGGAUCGCACGUCUGCUCCUGGGUACUGGCCAAACAAGCCCCGGGCAGCGGGCUCUCUGCUUCAUUGCAUUCGGCUCUGCCAUCAGCAGUCACCGCCUCCCAUACCACCUCUGUGAGCAGGCCAGUGGCAUAAGCUCAAACCCGUUACCUAGGUGCCAUCUGUGCCCUCUGCCACAUGGCAGCCCGACCAGACGGUGUUGGCUGCCGAAACCACAGCCAUUGCUUCCUUCUCGCUCCCAGAGGCUUUAAAUAUCAUUUGCCUGAGGGGCUCAGGCCUGUACUACCCAAGGACUGCUGUAAGGAUAGUCUGUGACUCUGGCCUAGUCAGUCAGUUAAGGGGCCAUCUGUCUGCUGGGGCUCCUAGGAAAUCUUCCUUCCUGAGAAGGUCUUUUAUAUUCUACAUGCUGUUAUUUUGGUUAAACACACUAGAAUGUAAGAAUUGGUGCUACGGUACCCUUUUUGUGACCAUGACAUCCCCAACAGUGAGAGAAAGCAGAAAGUAUAUGGAAGGAUCUUUAAUCAUUUCCAGUGGGUUUAUAUUAUUGUGGUAUUUUAAAGGUUCUGAAAAUGAGCGAGGCACCUGUGGCUUAUGCCUGUAAUCCUAUCUACUUGGGAGCUGCAAAUAGCUUUUGAGACCCCAUCUCCAAAAUAACCACAGCAAAAUGG